rnacentral:lncRNA from 1 species
CUGCUGGCUAACAUGUCAGCAAUGGAUACUCCAAAGUUUCUAAUUUUGCUUUUAUGGAUGUGGUCUUGCAAAGGAAGUGAAAGUCUAAAGCAGGGUGUUCGGAAUUCACCAAGAGAAGAUGCAGCCGUCAUCACUUCCUGUGACUUCAACCAGGACAGCACACCUUACUGCCAAUUCACACAGGACACCGCAGACGACAAUGACUGGACGAGACACUUUGGUCCAACCCCAACAAAUCACACAGGCCCCAGUGGAGACUACCCAGACAGAAGUAAGUCCUAACUGGAUGGUAUCUAUUUUCUGUACAGCGUAAAGCCAAGAUGUAAAAGCCCAAGUCAUUUUCAAUCUUGUUCUGUUUUACUCCAUUUAUAGAGGGGUUCUACAUCUAUCAUGAGUGCGACAACGUGUCUAAUGGAAAAAAGGCUCGUCUCCUGAGCCCGCUCAUCUCAUCAACAUCAUCUCAGAUUUGUGUUCAGUUUCGUUACUAUAUGUAUGGGAUUGAUAGUGACAAUCUAUUGAGGGUUUUGACAAAGAGACCUGGUGGUGAAGAGGAGAACUGGAACAGGACAGGAAUCCAGAGUCCAGCGUGGCUACCGGGCUCUGUGACUGUGUCAAAAUCCACAACUGAACAGAUUACUAUGGUCUUUGAGGCUCAGAGAGGUCGCACAUCGUAUUGUGACACAGCUCUGGAUAACAUUGUCAUUAGUGAAGGAGCAUGUCCUUGUAAGUAUACACAUGCAAACACAGAGCCUCAUACAUACAGACAGAAUCUAAAAACCUUUGUUUUUCCCUCCACAGCCUGUGUUGCUGGCUGUAAUUUCGACAAUUUGGGUGAUCUUUGCGGGUGGGUGUCUGAAGCGGAAAAUACUGACAUCUUUGGUUUCGAACAAUUUACUGGUGCAGGUCCUAGUUCAGGCACUGGUCCGAAUGAUGACUUCUCCAAACCUGGAUGUGAGUUUUCUUUUCUUUCUUUUUCCCACAAAUCUUAAAGGUGCACUAUGCAGGGUUGCAUAGUGACCUCCCCAAAUACACUGUGAAACUGUCAGGCCUCUGGAGACAACACAAGGGUUGUAAACGUCAAAAUAAACAAUAGGGUGCGCCAAGAGAUGAAAAAUCAUCUU